CCGCCCCUCCGCGCCCCCCCGCGGGGGAGCCCCCGAGCUAGGGGUUUCCACUGCUGGGGCUGCAUGAGCCCUACUGAGAGGAAGAGGAGGAGAAGGGAGGAAGGUCGGGGAGCGGCUGUGCCGUGGGCAGGAGGGAAGCCGGUCUCCGAGCGCGAACUGAGCUCAGCACUGCCGCCUGCCUCGCCUCGCCCUCCCGUCCCUCCCUCCUCGCCUCCUCCCCCCCCCCCCCGCCUCCCCCCGCCGCAGACGGCUGCGAGCCCGGAUGGUUUGCGAGCGGAGUUGAGGGGGCAAACUUUGAAGCCCAGAUGCCUCUGGGGCUGCGCGGCAGAGCGCGGCUGCUCCUGCAGGCACCUGCCGCCGCCCUCCCCCCGGCGCUGCCGCCCUCCGCGGGGGCGGCCGGCCCCGCUGCCGGCGGCCGCCGAGGCAGCGGGCGCUGCGGCCGCGGCUAGGGCGGGCGGCGGGCGCGCCCCCAUGCGGGUCCCGGGCUGGGGCGCGCCGGUGGCGGCAGGCGGGAGCCGGGCGGCGGCCGGGCGGUGCUCUCCCGCCGCCUGAGUGGGCGCGGCGCGGGACGGCGCGGGACGGCGGCGCGGGGUGCCGGGAGCCAUGGGCUAUUGCAGCGGCCGGUGCACGCUGGUGGCGGUGUGCGGCGCGCAGCUGGUUUCUGUGCUCGAGAGGCAGAUAUUUGACUUCCUUGGUUAUCAGUGGGCACCCAUCCUGGCAAAUUUUAUACACAUUAUCAUAGUCAUACUUGGCUUAUUUGGAACCAUCCAGUAUAGACCUCGUUACAUAACAGGAUAUGCUGUCUGGCUGGUCCUUUGGGUUACAUGGAAUGUGUUUGUUAUCUGCUUCUAUUUGGAGGCUGGGAACCUUUCAAAGGAAACAGAUCUCAUUCUGACCUUUAAUAUCUCAAUGCAUCGUUCUUGGUGGAUGGAGAAUGGGCCAGGCUGCACUGUGACCUCAGUAACCCCAGCACCAGACUGGGCACCAGAGGAUCAUCGAUAUAUCACUGUUUCGGGGUGUUUUCUUGAAUAUCAGUACAUAGAAGUGGCUCACAGUUCUCUUCAGAUCUUCCUUGCACUGGCGGGCUUCAUCUAUGCCUGUUAUGUUGUGAAAUGUAUUACUGAAGAAGAGGACAGCUUUGAUUUCAUAGGUGGAUUUGACUCUUACGGCUAUCAAGGUCCACAGAAGACAUCUCAUUUACAGCUACAGCCCAUGUAUAUUGCUAACAGCGUGCUCUAUGCUGUACAAGCCAAGAAGCCUAGACAAUCCCUUCAAAACGAAUACGCUUUUUAAACAGAAUGGGACAGAACUGGUGCUCGUGUACCUCCUUGCAGCGUGGCCACAGCUGAUGUACUAAAAAGCAGCUUCCUGGUAUUCUGUGUGAGAGAUGUCAGUGCUCAUUUCCAGACCACAGGACAAGAACACAAUAAGAUGGUGGAAAUCAAUUGUCAAGAGAAAAUUCUGCUCUUGGAAGGUCAAAGUAAACAUGAGGACUACUCAACAUGGGCUAGAGGACCUGAUAAAGAAACUGUUUCAGGAUGGCCUCCUGGUUCUCAAAGAGCAAAAAAUUACCCAGUUUUUGUGGAAAAAAAAAAUAUAUAUAGAAAAGCUGAUUGAACAGUGAGACACCAGACACCUUCAUCCCUUCUUUCUAAUAGGUACUAAGGAUGAUGCCCCAGACCCCAGUCUUGGACCUCCUCCCUCCCAGCACCACAGGGGCAGAGCAGAGGCAUUGGUGCCAUCUUCUGGGUCUUCCCUACCCUGGCUACCACCAGUGUGGCCCAUCUGGAUUGAGACAUGAACCUAGCCCACUUGUUGCUUUUGGAGCCCCCUCUGCACUCCUGGCCAUGUCGAGUCUCCUUAGUCAACACGACACUAAAAAUACCAGGAUGACCUUGCAGCAGAAGUCAAUAGACAGCGCAUUGUUUGCCCUGAAGGCUGUACAGUUCAUACUUGCCUUAACCCAACUGCGUUGCACAUCAGAGAAACUCCGUGCAAGCUUUCUGAAGUAACAUGCUGCUGUUAAUUCUGAACAAUUUCUAAGUCAGUGGUUUUCUUCUGUUUGGUUUUGUUUUGUUUUCAUGUCAGGGAAUAAGGCUCUGUUGCUCCACAGCUCCAGAGCGACCAAGUAGAAAACUGCCAGCUGUCUGAGAAGUGCUUUACUUUUGAGACUCCACAGUGGUCAAGAAAUAAACAGUUUAUAAUAGUUAACAGAUAAAAAAAAAAAAAAAAAAAAAAAAGAGACCUUUUGGGGGUCAGGAUGGGGAAAGGGUAC